AUUGAACGCUGGCGGCAUGCUUUACACAUGCAAGUCGAACGGCAGCACGGGGGCAACCCUGGUGGCGAGUGGCGAACGGGUGAGUAAUGCAUCGGAACGUGCCCUGUCGUGGGGGAUAACACAUCGAAAGAUGUGCUAAUACCGCAUACGACCUGAGGGUGAAAGCGGGGGACCGUAAGGCCUCGCGCGAUAGGAGCGGCCGAUGUCUGAUUAGCUAGUUGGUGGGGUAAGGGCCUACCAAGGCGACGAUCAGUAGCUGGUCUGAGAGGACGGCCAGCCACACGGGGACUGAGACGCGGCCCAGACUCCUACGGGAGGCAGCAGUGGGGAAUUUUGGACAAUGGGGGCAACCCUGAUCCAGCCAUGCCGCGUGCGGGAAGAAGGCCUUCGGGUUGUAAACCGCUUUUGGCAGGAACGAAACGGUGCGGGCGAAUACCCUGUGCUAAUGACGGUACCUGCAGAAUAAGCACCGGCUAACUACGUGCCAGCCGCCGCGGUAAUAC
rnacentral:rRNA from 1 species